GGGGAUGUAGCUCAGUGGUAGAGUGCAUGCCUAGCAUGCAGGAGGUCCUGGGUUCAAUCCCCAGUACCUCCA
rnacentral:tRNA from 1 species